rnacentral:rRNA from 1 species
UACAGAGGUCUCAAGCGUUGUUCGGAUUCAUUGGGCGUAAAGGGUGCGUAGGCGGCGCGGUAAGUCGGGUGUGAAAUUUCGAGGCUUAACUUCGAAACUGCAUUCGAUACUGCCGUGCUUGAGGACUGGAGAGGAGACUGGAAUUUACGGUGUAGCAGUGAAAUGCGUAGAGAUCGUAAGGAAGACCAGUGGCGAAGGCGGGUCUCUGGACAGUUCCUGACACUGAGGCACGAAGGCCGGUAGGGAGCAAACGGG